rnacentral:rRNA from 1 species
UACGAAGGGGGCUAGCGUUGUUCGGAAUCACUGGGCGUAAAGCGCACGUAGGCGGAUUUUUAAGUCAGGGGUGAAAUCCCGAGGCUCAACCUCGGAACUGCCUUUGAUACUGGGCACCUUGAGUAUGGGAGAGGUGAGUGGAAUUCCUGGUGUAGCGGUGAAAUGCGCAGAUGUCAGGAAGAACACCCGUGGCUAAGGCGGCUCUCUAGUACGGUACUGACGCUGAGACGCGAAAGCGUGGGGAGCGAACAGG